UGCACCGGCAGAACUCACUUGACCUUGACGCUCUGCUUGCCUCUCCGUGCAUCAUGAACCCCUAUUUGUGCAGAUCACUCUGCCUGGAGAAAAAAAGGGCUGAGAGUUGCGCCUUUUCCUUCUCUCAAUCAGUUUAAAGAAGUCCACAUUUUUCUCCACCCAGGAAGAAUCACAAAAUUCUAGGGCAGGAAGAAAACGUGGAAGCUUCUUCUCCCCACACUGAAGGCUUGGGUGGAAUUUGCAGAAGCCCCUCCCAGGAGCUAUAAGUAGCUCUUUGGAACAAGAACUUUUCCCAGUCCUGGGUGAGACCCACGUCUUUCUAAUAGGUGUUUCCCUGACUUUGGGUAAGCCCAUCUCACUCAAGCAUAGAAUGUGAACUCCACUGGAGCUCUGUCUUGUUCAUCACCAUGGACCCAGCUCCUGGGCAAACUUCUUGACUGUGAGAUAGAAAAUUCAGAAUCCUUUUCAAGGUACCCGAACAAACUACCAUUGGCCAGUUACCACCUCAGACCACCUAUGUUCCUCAACCAGUGAUUGGUCUACCAUUCAGAGACAUUCACAGAGAGACCAUUCCUACUCUAAUAGAAACCUUCUGACAUUACUUCACUCAGUGAGGAGGUGAGGAAUGGAGCGAGGGGGUUCUUGAAGAAUGUUCUAAUGAGUCUCUUCCCUUGAUACCUCAACUGGGUUGUUCCUUCAUAGCUGGUGAGAUGGGAACAGGUGAUGUCAACACAAGGUGUUUGGAGUAAGGCUCAAAGCAACAGCAGGACUCCACUCUCAUGAAUAUAAAUAACUGAAGAGAAUUUGCAUAGGGUAAGGAUUUAUUGAACACACAAGAUGGCACUAAGGGGAUUGAAUUAGGUUUUGAUGGUAUGUAACAAAUUACCCAAACUUCAUGGUUUAAAACAACACUCAUUUAUUA